UACAGAGGUCUCAAGCGUUGUUCGGAUUCAUUGGGCGUAAAGGGCGCGUAGGCGGCGCGGUAAGUCGGGUGUGAAAUCCCGGAGCUUAACUCCGAAACUGCAUUCGAUACUGCCGUGCUUGAGGACUGGAGAGGAGACUGGAAUUUACGGUGUAGCGGUGAAAUGCGUAGAUAUCGUAAGGAAGACCAGUAGCGAAGGCGGGUCUCUGGGCAGUAACUGACGCUGAGGAGCGAAAGCGUGGGGAGCGAACAGG
rnacentral:rRNA from 1 species